UGAAAAGCUAACUUGCGUAGAAAAGUUUAUUUUUCAAUGUCAAGAAAAGUCACGCCUAUUUGUGUUGUAUAAAAAUUAGAAAAUACCUUCAUAUUGUCCCAUUAAAAAACAAAACAAAAUAGCUAAAUCUUUGUGCAGAGUAUAGAUGACCUGCAUAACUUUUGUUCUAUAGAAGGGAUACUGAGAAAACAAUUAUUUUUAAAUAACCCAAGUACAACCAGCAUUAUUACUUCAUUUUUUAUUUAUUUGAAUGCCUUUGAUGAUUUAUUUGGAUUCUGUUCCUGCUUGGAUAAAUGCAUUUCACUUUGUGUAUUGUAGCUGUGACAGAUAAUGCUAGAUGAUCCUCAAUACACCUCGACUUUCUUCUAAUAGAGUAACUAACCUCUCCAACCUCUGACCUUCCUCCACCCCAUUUUUUAGAAACAUGGCCUCCCAACUAUGGACUACAUUUCCCAGCAUCUCUAGAAGCUAGAUAAGUUCGUGUAAAACUUCCGGGCAAUAGAAGAGGAGUGAAAUCGAUAUCUUUAAUUUCUGGGUCAUCUCCUUAAACAUUUGUCCUGUACUCUCCCCUGUCCCUUCUUCUGUGGGCCAUAGGACAGAUGUGGUAGAGACCAAGGUUCUGUAACCCUGAAGAACAUGACAUCAGGGAAUGGUAAUGCAGCAUAAAGGAAGGCACUUGCGUCCUUUAAUGACCUAGAGGAGUCAGUCUACUUCACCACCUGGACCAGCGGGACUGUAAUGUGAGAAAUGCAUUUCUAUCUAUGCAUCCAUAACCUGAACCUAAGUGGGAAAAAGGAAGUGGAGGAAGAGGAAGAAGAAUGGGAAAACAAACAAACAAAAAACAA